rnacentral:rRNA from 1 species
GAUGAGCACAUCCCAGGUUCACCUCGUUUAUCAUCUUAUCCUCAUGAUAAAUCUCAUUUAUCGAAUGAAGCUUCUACAAAGAAGACCUAUUUAGGUCCCAUGACAAGGAGUCAUGGCAAACAAAUAGAAAAAGAGGUGAACAUGAUCCUAGCUGAUCGUAAUUAACCUAUCCAUGAGAACUUUAUACUACCUAAAUCUUGUGUGCUGAUUUUACUCAGGUACAAUGUUGAGGACAACCAACAAUUUUCAGCACAUGAAGAAACAAGUUCAGCUCAUGAAAAUUCGUCCCAGAACUUGCUGCAUCAUGCAACACAAAUAUAUGAGUAUCCAAGACGUGAGGGGGUACAAAAUGGACAACAUAUGAAGUCUACUUUCAGGAAAAUCAAACAUUGCAUCAUUUGGAGUCCUGAGUCAAACGGUAUGAGAGUUCCAAUGCAAGUUGUCCAGAGCAUUAAUUGA